GAGCACGCCGCGUGAGGGAUGAAGGCCUCUGGGCUGUAAACCUCUUUUAUCAAGGAAGAAGAUCUGACGGUACUUGAUGAAUAAGCCACGGCUAAUUCCGUGCCAGCAGCCGCGGUAAUACGGGAGUGGCAAGCGUUAUCCGGAAUUAUUGGGCGUAAAGCGUCCGCAGGCGGUUUUACAAGUCUGUCGUUAAAACGUGGAGCUCAACUCCAUUUCGGCGAUGGAAACUGUAAGACUAGAGUGUGGUAGGGGCAGAGGGAAUUCCCGGUGUAGCGGUGAAAUGCGUAGAUAUCGGGAAGAACACCAGUGGCGAAGGCGCUCUGCUGGGCCAUAACUGACGCUCAUGGACGAGAGCCAGGGGAGCGAAAGGGAUUAGAUACCCCUGUAGUCCUGGCCGUAAACGAUGAACACUAGGUGUCGGGGGAAUCGACCCCCUCGGUGUCGUAGCCAACGCGUUAAGUGUUCCGCCUGGGGAGUACGCACGCAAGUGUGAAACUCAAAGGAAUUGACGGGGGCCCGCACAAGCGGUGGAGUAUGUGGUUUAAUUCGAUGCAACGCGAAGAACCUUACCAGGGUUUGACAUCCUGCGAAUUCCUUGGAAACUUGGAAGUGCCUUCGGGAGCGCAGUGACAGGUGGUGCAUGGCUGUCGUCAGCUCGUGUCGUGAGAUGUUGGGUUAAGUCCCGCAACGAGCGCAACCCACGUCUUUAGUUGCCAGCAUUAAGUUGGGCACUCUAGAGAGACCGCCGGUGAUAAACCGGAGGAAGGUGUGGAUGACGUCAAGUCAUCAUGCCCCUUACAUCCUGGGCUACACACGUACUACAAUGCUACGGACAAAGGGCAGCAAACUCGCGAGAGCUAGCAAAUCCCAUAAACCGUGGCUCAGUUCAGAUCGUAGGCUGCAACUCGCCUACGUGAAGGAGGAAUCGCUAGUAAUCGCAGGUCAGCAUACUGCGGUGAAUACGUUCCCGGGCCUUGUACACACCGCCCGUCACACCAUGGAAGUUGGCCACGCCCGAAGUCGUUACUCCAACCCUUGUGGAGGAGGAUGCCGAAGGUGGGGCUGAUGACUGGGGUGAAGUCGUAACAAGGUAGCCGUACCGGAAGGUG
rnacentral:rRNA from 1 species